AAAACAAAAGUCUCAGUCAGUGUUUGUGUGCAGCUAAAUAUUUUACUCUACAGUUCACAGUUGCGGUGUGAUGAUGGAGGUGUUACUGCAUUUAGCUCUGCUGUUGAUCAUUUCAUCUGUUAGUGGUCAGUCUUUGACCUCCUCAGAUUCUGUGGUGAAAAAGCCUGGAGACUCAGUGACUCUGUCCUGCACUGUGUCUGGAUUCUCAAUGAGCAGCUACUACAUGGGCUGGAUCCGUCAGAAACCAGGGAAAGCACUGGAGUGGAUUGGAUAUAUAGACACUGGCUCAAGUGCAUAUUAUGCUCAGUCUCUACAGGGCCAGUUCUCCAUCACCAAAGACACCAGCAAAAACAUGCUGUAUUUAGAGGUGAAAAGCCUGAAGACUGAAGACACAGCUGUUUAUUACUGUGCACGAGACUCACAGUUACACAAAGGACUGCAGGACUGAACAAAAACUACUGAU